GGUUACAAGCUCUCGCUGCUGAGCUCGGCGUUGCGUUGCAAGGAGCAGAGUAUUUAACCUGCGCCGACAGUUGUUAAACAGGCAAGGUGGGACUAAAAAGGGUGUCGCCUACUGUACUGGCUGGCGAUGGCAACUGGGCUGUGUGGCGCACCGCAGCUGGGCCGUUGGCAUACUGGACUUGCCUGUUUAUAAAACUGGGCACGGGUCAAAACGUUCGAUAUCGCCAGCAGGGCCAUUGUUU